CCUACGGGUGGCAGCAGUGAGGAAUAUUGGUCAAUGGGCGCGAGACUGAACCAGCCAAGUAGCGUGAAGGAUGACUGCCCUACGGGUUGUAAACUUCUUUUAUAAAGGAAUAAAGUGUGGCACGUGUGCCUUUUUGUAUGUACUUUAUGAAUAAGGAUCGGCUAACUCCGUGCCAGCAGCCGCGGUAAUACGGAGGAUCCGAGCGUUAUCCGGAUUUAUUGGGUUUAAAGGGAGCGUAGAUGGGUUGUUAAGUCAGUUGUGAAAGUUUGCGGCUCAACCGUAAAAUUGCAAUUGAUACUGGCAGUCUUGAGUACAGUAGAGGUAGGCGGAAUUCGUGGUGUAGCGGUGAAAUGCUUAGAUAUCACGAAGAACUCCGAUUGCGAAGGCAGCUUACUGGACUGCCACUGACAUUGAUGCUCGAAAGUGUGGGUAUCAAACAGGAUUAGAUACCCGAGUAGUC
rnacentral:rRNA from 1 species